CAGUAGGGAAUCUUCCACAAUGGACGCAAGUCUGAUGGAGCAAUGCCGCGUGAGUGAAGAAGGGUUUCGGCUCGUAAAGCUCUGUUGUUAAAGAAGAACGUGGGUAAGAGUAACUGUUUACCCAGUGACGGUAUUUAACCAGAAAGCCACGGCUAACUACGUGCCAG
rnacentral:rRNA from 1 species